GGGCGGGAGAGGGAAGGAGGGAGGCACCCCGGGGCGGGGAAAGGGCCCAGCAGGAAGUAAUUCGCGGCCACCCGGCAGACCAGGAAGCAAGCGUCCUGGGUUACGGGCAGGGCCACCAGGGCCACUGCUGCUCCUGUCCCUGGCUACCCCACGGUGACCGUGCCGGGACGCAAGCCUAGGCCAAGCCACAGAGCAGGGGCCGGCGAGUGACAAAUGGAGCCUCCAGAGGACGCCCGGGGCGUGGUCACAUGACAGCAGGCAGCGCGUCCCUGGGAGUGGUAAUGCAACCGCAGGCCCGUGAUGCGGCUCCGGGCUGCCUGUCUUUUCCUGCCCACCGACGCUGAGUGAGGCACGUCCGUGCAGGGGUGUCCAGGAGAACAGAUGUGUGCGCAGCCAGCAGACAACCGAGACAACGACCAGCAGUAGCCCUGAACCUGUGAAUGCCAGGGUGAGAUGCUCAGUCCUGGGAUAUCCUGUCGCAUAAAUGCUGUUGCCCCCGUUUUAUAAAUGAGGCAAGUGAGGUGCCCAGAGCUAACGGGAUCCGAUCUGCCCCAGGAAAUAGAACGGGUGCAUCGAUCGCCGGCUGUCCCCAGAGGUCGACUCAGAGAUGGGGACCAGAGCACAAAUGGUCACUUUGAGAGAGUCCCAGGAAGCACCUGUAGAGAAGUAGCAAAAGUGAAACGAAGGAAGAAAGGACCAAGAUAGGGUGCAGUGGUGAGCAGGGCACACUGUGGGCAGCCGGGGCUUGAUCCUACUGGGCGCCUGUGGGCACUGCAGAGCACAACGCAGGCACGCAUUGCUGGAGGGGAGAGUGGAGGGCUGCUCCUGGCACUGCCGGCCUGCCCCGUGUGCUUUCUGAGGCAAAACUCCCGGGACCUGAUACUACAGAGCCGUCAGGAGGGGCUGCAGGCUCCUGGAAGCAGCCAGGGCUGCAUGGCUCCGGAGCCACAUCACGCUGCCCCGAGAUAACCCUGCAAUCGCCUGGGCCCUUAGUCCUGCAGAAGGUUGCUGUACAAGUCUCCUUUCUUAGACAAGAGCUUCCUGUGCCCCUGAACCCCUCAGCACUCCUAGUCUGGAGACAUGUAUGUGACAUGUAUGUGACAUGUAUGUGACAUGUCCCCUGCUGCACAGGAGCAAGGACACAGUGGCACCCUCUUGACUGCAGAGCCAUGGAAAUGAGGUCGGCUCUUCCAGCUUCCCAGGGGAGCUCACCCGAGACCUCCCUGUGUAAAUCGCCUCCACCCUGCGCCACACCACCCGGCCCUGCUUGUCUUCUCUCCCUACGAGGCAAUGUGUGGAAGUACUCACUGAUCAUCCAGCCGAUUAGAGGGUUGCAUCGAAAACAUGUGACGGGCUCUUCCAACUCAAUCACAAGGACAAGAAACCCACCUAAAACUGGGCAACGCGAAGCUGGUGCUGUGUCACGGCAGGUUAAGCUGCCACGUCCCAUGUCAGGCACCAGUUAGCAUCCAGCUCCCUGCUAAUGCGCCUGGGAAAGCAGCAGAAGGUGAGCCGAGUAACUGGGUCCCUGCCACUCAUAUAGGAGACCCGGAUGGAGUUCUGGGCUCCUGCCUUCAGCCUGGCCCAGCCCUGGUCAUUGUGGCCAUGUGGGAAGUGAUCCAGCAGAUGGAAUACCUUUCUCUCUUUGCCUUUCAGAUAAAUAAAAUAAAUUGCCUAGAUCAAUUUAAAAAACUGGGCAAGGCAUCUGAAUAGGAAUUUCUCCAGGGAAGGUGUACAAAUGGCCAAAAUCCCAUGAGACCGUGAUCAGUCCUCAGGGUGAGAUACCAUUUCCCACCACUAGAGGGCUCUGAGCGACAAGACGGCACACUGCUGGUGGGAGUAAAAUGGUACAGUCGUCUCCCAAAAAUUCAAACUGAGCGACCGUUCGACCUAGCAACUGCACUCCCAGACACGUCCAAGAGGAACGAGAACACUCACAAAGAGACCAAGAGUACGAGCUGCAACUUUAUUGAGGGUGGCGGGAGCUGCAGGCAGCCCUGCACCAGGGAGCGCGCACCCGCACAGAGCGACGCGACUCAGCGGAAGUGAGUGAGGAGCACCGUCAGCAGAACGCGUGAAUCUCAGAUCACUGUGCUGAGCCCGGGCGGCUCUCCUGUCGGCGUAAUUCCAAGCCGAGUAGUUCAAGAACAGGAAACUGAGGGACAGAGUCACUGGCUGGGACCGAGAGGACGUGUCUGCCGUGACAGGCAGAGAGACAGAGGAUUCCCCCUAUAUGAUUCCCACUGACUGGUUCUCUCCCCAGUGCCCACAAUGGCCAGGACCAGAGCCAACAGUGGGGGACUCCAGCCAGGUCUCCCCCAACACCUGAGCCGUCGCUGCUGCCUCCCGGGUCUGCAUCUGCAGGAAGCUGGAGUCAGCAGCCGGAGCCGGGCUUUGAACCCAGGUCCUCCCAUGCGGCACGCAGGAGUCGCCACAGGCGUCUGAGCCCCCGGGCUACACUCUCGCUUCUUCUUGGAGUCUUUGAUGUGAUCCCAAGGCUUUUCCUUGGAGGAUGGGUCUGCCGACUGGAAUUCCACGAGCAUUCUCUUGGGAAAACGCCUAGGACAACCGUCUAGACUCCCAGGUCCUGUGAAGGGGGCGAGAGCCUUGGGACACUUGCAAAGCUGCCCCACCCCACCUUCCACAGUGAUCUCCCCAGGCAUACUCAGACAGUUUCAUUUACGUUUUAAUUGUGGCUAAAAACACAUCCCACAGUUUCCCAGGCGAGCCGCUCGGUAGUGCUCAGUAUACCCACGCGGCUGAGCAACAGAUUCCAGACUUUUCUACGCUGCAAAACUGAAACUCUGCACCCGUUACCCAGCAACUCCCCCCCACACACCCCCCCCAACACCAUCUGUUUUCUGUGUCUGAGUUUCACUGGCGCAGGUACCUCAGAGAAGGGGAUUCACACAGCACUGUCUUCAUACGGACAGUUUUUUUUUAAGUUUGUAUUUAAAUAUUUUCAUUGUAUUUGAAAAGCAGAGAGAGGUCUUCCAUCUGCUGGUUCACUCCCUGAAUGCCCACAACAGCCUGGGAGGGCCGGGUCAAAGCCAGGAGCCAGGAACCCCAACUGGGUCUCCCGCAUGGGUGGCAGGGACUCGGGGACCUGAUCCAUCGGCUGCUGCCUGCCAGGGUGUGCAUCAGCAGGAGCUGGAUGAGACGCCGAGUAGGGCACGACUCAACUGGGUCCCAAGUGCUGACUUAGCUGCUGCGGUGGGGGUGGGCGUGGCAUUGCAAUGCAGUUUACCCUGCUAGGAGUGCCAUCGUGGGUGCCGGUUCAAGUCCUGGCUGCCUGCUCCACUUCCUCUUUGUUUUUUCUUUUUGACAGGCAGAGUUAGACAGUGAGAGACAGACAGAGAGAAAGGUCUUCCUUCCGUUGGUUCACCCCCUAAAUGGCUGCUACGGCCAGAGCUACGCCGAUCCGAAGCCAGGAGCCAGGUGCUUCUCCUGGUCUCCCAUGCGGGUGCAGGGCCCAAGGACCUGGGCCAUCCUCCACUGCACUCCCGGGCCACAGCAGAGAGCUGGCCUGGAAGAGGAGCAACCAGGACAGAAUCCGGCGCCCCAACUGGGACUAGAACUCGGGGUGCUGGCACCGCAGGUAGAGGAAUAGCCUAGUGAGCCGUGGCUCCGGCCUCUUUUUUUAAUGAUUUAUUUAUUUAUGUAUUUAUUUGAAAAUCAGAGUUACAUAGAGAGACAGAGUAACCUUCUAUCUGCUGGUUCACUCCCCCAAAGGACCACAUGGCUGGGUCUGGGCCAGGCCAAAGCCUGAUAUUGAUUGAUUGAUGAAAGUCAGAGUUGCGGCGAGAGCUUCCAUCUGCUGCUUCACUCCCCAGUGGUGGAAACGGCCAGGGCUGGGCCAGGCUGAAGCCGGGAGCCAGGAGCUCCACGUGGUCUCUCGCAGGGAGAAGUUGAUGAGCUUUACAAAGCUGCUGGUCCACUCCCAUUGCCCUGAACUGCCAGUCACUCCUGCUUGGCCAGGAAGGCUGGGAAAUGCCUUUCAGCCGGGUGCACGGCCUCCGUGGAUGAAGUCGGGGCAAGGGAGAACGGAUACUGAGGCACGGCUCCGGCUGCACAAACACGCCGGGACCUGCCGCCAGCAAAGGAGCACGCAGGGCCCUGGCCACCCUCCUGCUCAGAGUGGGCUCCAAGGUGAUGGCUCCACGCCGGGAGGUGGGGAUGAGCACACACUGCCUUACGUCAGCGUCACUAGUCCUAGCCCCGCACUCACAGCGCUGCCUGUCAGGUGGUGGAGACCCGGAGAGAGCCUGAAUGGAUGAGUGAUUGACAGCUCUGCUGCGGGAGGAGCCUGGCCUAGCAGCACCACCGGGCAGUGCCAAAGAAGGAUGGAGCUGAUCCCUGGCUGCUUCUCCACGCUCCAGACCCUAAGGGUCUCGCAGCAACAGAAUGACAUCGUUCAUCACAGCCUGACUCAACAGGAAGUGAAAGCAGAAGUGCUUUAUGUAGGCAACGCUGGGAAAAAGCUGACACAGCCACUCCCCAUUGAAAUGAGGCAGAAAAUGUUCCAUCACACACAAUCAGAAUAAAACACUGGGCCUGCAUCCUGCCUGUCAACAAACAGCUGGGGCCUGCGGCUCUGUCUCCCUGCUUCGUUUUGGGUUUUUUUGCUGGCGUUUUUUUUUUUUUUUUUUGUGCCCCAUUUUGCAGGUCUGUGUGCAAGGUUUGCCGCUCAGAUGUGAGCCGGUGGGUAAGGAAUUGAGCCUUAUUCUGGGAAGAGGAGCGAGCAGGCCAUGGAGGGGCUGGGAGGACAGCCCAAGACAAUCCCAAGAAGUAAGGACUAUCAGCAUCACUGUGGCGCAGUGGGUAAAGCCCCCGCCUGCAGCGCCGGCAUCCCACAUGGGCUUUGGUUCGAGUCCCGGCUGCUCCACUUCCAGUCCAGCUUCCUGUUGACAUGCGUGCACCUUGGGAGGCAGCAGAUGAUGGCUCCAGUGUUUGGGCCCCUGUCACCCAUGUGGGAGAUCAGGAUGGAGUUCUAAGCUCCUGGCUUUGGCCUGCCCCAGCCCUGGCUGCUCUGGGCAUUUGGGGAGUGAACCAGAAGAUGGGAGGUCUCUCUGUCACUCCAUCUCUCUGCCUGUCAAAUAAAUACAAAUAAAUAAAUAAAUAACAAGAGGGGUGGGCACCGUGUCAUACCUGGCUAAGCUGUUACUUGGGAUGCCUGCAUCCCGUACCAAGAGUGUCUCUUUAGGCCGGCGCCGCGGCUCACUAGGCUAAUCCUCCACCUGCGGCGCCAGCACACCAGGUUCUAGUCCCGGUCAGGGCGCUGGAUUCUGUCCCGGUUGCCCCUCUUCCAAGCCAGCUCUCUGCUGUGGCCCGGGAGUGCAGUGGAGGAUGGCCCACAGUCCUUGGGCCCUGCACCCCAUGGGAGACCAGGAGAAGUACCUGGCUCCUGCCAUCAGAUCAGCGUGGUGCGUCGGCCGCAGCGCACCGGCCGUGGCAGCCAUUGGAGGGUGAACCAACGGCAAAAGGAAGACC